AUUGAACGCUGGCGGCAAGCCUAACACAUGCAAGUCGAACGAGUGGCGGACGGGUGAGUAAUGUCUGGGAAACUUCCUGAUGGAGGGGGAUAACUACUGGAAACGGUAGCUAAUACCGCCUACCAUCGGAUGUGCCCAGAGGGGAUUAGCUAGUAGGGGGGGUAAAGGCUCACCUAGGCGACGAUCCCUAGCUGGUCUGAGAGGAUGACCAGCCACACGGGAACUGGGACACGGGCCGACUUCCAACGGGAGGCAGCAGUGGGGAAUAUUGGACAAUGGGGACAAGCCUGAUGCAGACAUGCCGCGUGGAGGAAGAAGGCCUUCGGGUUUUAAAGUACUUUAAGCGGGGAGGCGUUACCCGCAGAAGAAGCACCGGCUAACUCCGUGCCAGCCGCCGCGGUAAUAC
rnacentral:rRNA from 1 species